AAGGCGUAAUCCGAAAAGCCUAAAAAGAGUAGGAA
rfam:Flavobacterium aquatile LMG 4008 contig6, whole genome shotgun sequence.